rnacentral:rRNA from 1 species
GACGAACCGUGCGAACGUUAUUCGGAAUCACUGGGCUUAAAGCGCGUGUAGGCGGGCCGCCGCGUCGGCUGCUGAAAUCCCCCGGCUCAACCGGGGAACGGGCACCGAUACGGGCGGCCUCGAGGGGGGUAGGGGGGACCUGGGAACUUCCGGUGGAGCGGUGAAAUGCGUUGAGAUCGGAAGGAACGCCCGUGGCGAAAGCGAGGUCCUGGACCCUUUCUGACGCUGACGUACGCGAAAGCCAGGGGAGCGAACGGG